ensembl:lncRNA
UGUGUGUGGGUGUGUAGCUCCUCCCCUCUUACUUAAUGAAGACUCACCACACCCACACACAUCAUAACCAAUCACGUGUGGCUUUAACACAAUAAAAAAGAAUCGACUUAUAAUUAAGAGUCGACUCCCGUUGUUUAGUUCGAAGAGUCAGUUCUUAGAGCCGAAUCAUUUACGACCGACCCAUCAGUACAGCUAAACACCGAAAACCUGACCAAAAGUAUAGUUAUUGAGUUAGUUAGCUAUAAUGGAAGACCAGACUGGUUUAACAGGUUUGGACAAUCUGCUGUUACAGUUAGCUCUAGAGACUCGAGAAUUAUCCCAGAAGAAGGAAGAGCUAAAACAGCAAAUUCAAAUUUAUAGAUCCAGCAUACAAACAAAGAAACAGCACAUUGAGGAAACUCAGAAGAAUAUUAAGAAAUUAGAUGAAGAAAUCUCGCAGAAGCAGAAAACUGUGAAGUGUUUCAAAGAAAAUGUGAAGAGCCUGCGUGGAACAAAUAACCUUCUACUUCAGUAUGAAAAGACACUGGAAUCUGAGCUAGAAAGGAGACAGGACAGCUGCAAUCAGGACAUGAAAUUGUUUCAGGAAAGAAUUGAUAACUACAGGAACGUAUUUCAGCAGUACAAAGAGGAAUAUUGCCAAAAUCCCCUGGCUAAACAACUCCUAAAAUUUCAAGCAGAGAAUGAAGAAAUGGAGAAAAGAAUUCGAGCCAAAGAGGAGGAAAUGAUUGCAAAAGAAAAAGUGCUAAAUACUCUAAAAGAGGAUCACAGUGCAUGUGAGAGCGGUGAAAGACCAUCUCAGUCACAAGAUGCAGCACUGCCACCUGAGAGUGACUUUCAGCCUCAGGCUGAUACAGCCAUACAUGAUGAGCUUCCACCACAGGGCACAGAAGCAGAGCAAGAUACUGAAAUGGAAGAGAAGACUAUGGAGAAAAAAGAGGACCAGGCAGAUGGCUUUGAUGCGUCUAAUGCCUCUCAAGUGGGCGCACUUGGCAGCACAGUUUGGACAAAGCCAGAUUUAAGUUGUGAUCUAAUUCAAGAGGCACAGCAGAAACAACAAGAGCAAGCAGCUGACGUGGAUUUCCAUAUGAACACCUCGUUUGGGCCUGAUGUCAUGGAGGAGAUGAUGAAGGGGAUGGAGGUUGAAGACCAGCAGGAACAUGAAGAAGCUGUUGAUAAGGAGAGCACUAAUGAGGGAGCAGCCCCAUCAUCUCCUGUCAGAAUGUCUGCAGCUCUCAACACCCCAACAUUCUCUCUGAAUAGCAGCCCCAGUACUUCACCUGGCCGCCGGCAGAGUUCAGAAGGAGCAGCCUUCGUUUUCUCUGUGCACUCGGAUCCAAGCACACCCGGGUUCUCUGGAUUUGGCUGCAACUUUGAUGUGGGAUCAAAUCCAAGCGAGGAGUCGCCUCUUAAAUUUACAAGCCCUUAUUUCAGCAGCAAGAAGUCCCCUGAAACAAAGUUACCAGGCUUUCUGUUUGAUGAGAUGGAGGGUCGUCAGGAAGAGGAGUUUGCAUUUUCUUUUGGGGCAAAGAGUCCUCAGCCCAGCACCUCCAGCCAAGAGGAAGGAGGCACUGGAGAUCCCUUCCCUUUCUCCUUCAGCUUUGGAAAGUUUUAG